rnacentral:rRNA from 1 species
AUGACCUGUAUCGUUUUGGGUGUUCAGUCAGACAGUUGGAUAUGGGCCUGUGUAAUGAAUUCAGUGAGAGUGAGAGAUUGGUAUGUGCUAGGAACUAAGGCUGGGUUUCAUUUCGUGAGAAGCACAGCAUGCAUGCAAGUUCAUGUUCAAGUUGAACUUCUGGUGCUAGCUAAGCUAUAUUCUUUCUUUCUUUUGGUUGGUUGCUUGCAUGCUGGGAAAACCAUUAAUCCUGAACUUGUGAUGCCUGCGCUAUACUGUUGUAUAUACUUGGUUCUCAACUACUCCCUUCAUCCCACAAAGUAA